rnacentral:lncRNA from 10 species
CCCUAGAAAAUACUUUCACUAUUUGUCCUUGAAUUAAGCAAUGAAGAAGACAACUUUCUACACUUAGAGUAAAUGCAAACAAUUACUUUUCUGGGUCCUCACUGAUUUUUCCAUUUAUCUGCUUCACCUCUCCUCUCUUUCCUUUCUGUUUUCUUCUCUCUCUUUCUCUCUUUCCUUUUCUUUCCCUUUAAUUCUGGCCCCAAAGUAUGGGCUUGGCCAGAGGAAAUACUCAGAAUGAAGGAUUGCAUCUUCCGACCAGAAGCAGGUGCUGAGGAUGGAUAUGACAUCAAAACAGAAGGUGAGGACUCUGACACAUCCAGAUUUUGUAAGUUGCAUAGAAUGAAUUUCACAGGACGCAUCCAAUUCAUGGACUCUUACAAGUUUGUAUCAACACCUACAGCUCUGACCUCUGGGAAUGAAGAAGAUACUUAACAAUAGUUUUGAUGGACUAGAAAAUCAACAGAGAUAAUAUCCAUAUUCGUAUUGGUAGCCCCAUUGUAUUUAGAUAGUGUGAGCCAGCAGUGUUCACUUCCACCCAAUUCAGGGACUUCCUCUAGCAAGGUAUUGCAGUUUGGAAGUGGGAACAGAAGAGACUGUGCAAUCUUCACAGGAGAACAUUGUCAUGACAAAGAGGACAAACAAGUUCAAGGCAAAAAACUAAACCAUAACCUUGGGAUUCAAGGAAAAAGUCAUCAAGCACAGAGGGGGAAUAAAUGAAAGAAUAUAUCUCAGAGUUUUGGGAAGCCAUAAGGAUACUUAACAUGCCCUUUCAUCUGGCUUCUGGCUGGUGAGAAAUGUUCUUCCUGGAUGCCUUUAGACAUGGAAGAAUAGAAAUAACCACUUAAAGCUCCCGCCAUUUCUGUUCUUUGGCAACCCUGAAAAAGCUGAAAGAGGCUGAUCAUCGCUAAUGUAUUGAACAUCUUUUGAAGCCCCAAUGACUGCCACCAACAAAGAACAGACACAUGUGCUAUCUGGGUGAGCACUUCCUCCUGACUCCUUAACAAAACCCUCCCUGAAAGGUUGAUAAGCAAACAGGCUUCACAACAGAAGGGCAGCUCAUUCCCCAGAGGGACUGACGGAAGCCAUAUUCCCAACACAGGAAAAGAAAGCAGGACAUGGGUGAUUCUGAGAAAGGUGCAGCCUUCCAGGGCAGACAGGAAGCACUGACAUAUGGCAACUGAAUCAAAGGGGAUCAUGAAGUCUCUGUUCAAUCGUUUGAGUCACGAAGUCUCCAAUCCUUCAGCAACAUGGUACUUUGAGCAUGACUUCAGCAAAACCAAGGUUAUAGGUGAUGGUUAUGAUGAUGAAUAAAAGAGCAGUGCAGAGUGAAAAUGAAGAAUAAAUUUGACUUUGAUUUUAGUUCAGGGGUGUAGAUGGAUAUUUUGCCCAGGAUUUGCAACUUGGAUUUUGGGAGAUUGCUUUCCAUGAGGAUUUUGAAUCCUUAUAGAUAAUAUAUUAAUUUAGAGUAGAAUAGAGAUGAAUUCAAAUGAAGAGUGAGAGAAGUUGUAUUUCGAGGAAUAAGAAAGCAGGUAUAAAAACAUUCAGUGAACUUUUAAAUCAUGCUAUAGACAAUCAUCAUAAUGAUGCUACUUAGGAAAGUCAGAGUCACGAAGCUCUGGAUAUAGUUUUUCUGUACUCUGUUGCAAAGGGAAUUCUUUGGUAGAGAAAAUAGAUGGAAGCCUGUCAGUCGCAGAGAAGAAAGUGGAAUGCAGGAGAGUGGGUUCCUAGAGGGAUGUUGCUUUCAAUCUACUUCCCUGCUGCAGUUUCUAGCCAGCACAUGGUAACCACCUCUCUCUUCUGCCACCUUCUGAAGUUACUCAGAUAAAUCUCUGUUCCUUUGACCCAAAAGAAGUGCCCCCCACCAGCCACCUCUGUCCCAUUACAUGGCCCAUUAUGCUUACCUUAUCUCAAAGAUACACUCGAGUUAUUGGAAAUUUCCCAUAAAGAUUCCCACACUCCUGAAAGCGGAAAGAACACAGCAGGAAAAGACGAACUAGGAUGUGUGUUAGUGUAUGUAAUUAUAUUGAGGUUAGAAAUGGAAAACACACCUGAUGCUCUGCGUUAUUAUUUUAAAAACAGCAAUAAGAACAAACUGGAAGCUCAGAAUGAUGCCCUGGAGAGAAUUAUUCUUUUUCUGACAUUUAUUUAGAUUCCCCUUUGAGAAAUAGCUUUAUUUUCAGUGAUUUCUUGGGUGAGUAAAAUAACAUUUCACUCAAGAGUUAAAAGGGGUCAGUUUGGGUCUUGUCAGGGGUGCUUUGGAACUUUCUUGCUGACCUGGAAUUAGUGCACGUGCAUCUGAGUGCUACUCCAGCCACCCAGCACACCAUAAAAUAUGUUUUCCGCUACAGUGAUAUUGCUGGCAGUGCAUAAAACAAAUGGACUGGGUCAGAAAUAGUCAGACUCCACCUUUAAAUGGAUUCUUCUGGAUGUAUGUUACUUUGGAGAGCACUUUUGAAACAUUCUUCUAUUAAGGUUUUCAUUAUGAUUUUAACUCCUGUCUACAGAAGCUAUUCAUUAAUUCAAUUAGUCCUUAUUGCCAACGUAGAGGGUGAGUUCUAUAUUGUAAGCCCCAAUGCACAGAUGCAGAAACCGAGGUUCAGAAGCUUUGACAUCUUGCCCCAGGUCUCUUAGAUGUUAGUAGCUAAUCUGGGAUGCAAACCAGAUGCCUGAAUCAAGUCUUUGUUCUCUUCAUUCUGCUGCACUGGUUCGUCUGACUUGAAAUUGCAUCAGUUAGGGUUUGGGUUCAGCUGCAUACAAAAAAAUCCGAGUGGCUGCCAGUUAGACUAAACAGAGAUUUAUUUUUCUUCCAUAUAACAAUAAAUUCAGACAUAAACAGUCUGAAGCUGGUGGAAAGAAAAUGCUUUCUGGUUUCCCAGUGUGAUUAGGCACAUGAAGGCAGUUGCAAUUCCAGCCCUCAUGACUGUAAUCCAGACUGCAGAAAGGAGUUAGAAACAAGAAAAUCACGUGGCACUUACAUCAGGAAAGCACAGUAUUUUUCAGAAAUACACAGAAAUAACCAGAAAUGUGUCUCACAUGAUCAUUGCUGGUCAUCUAAUCUCCCUAGAAAAGUAAUUUUUAUCUUAUAACAUUGCUGCCCCAACAAAAUAGAGAUUCCCUCAGUAAAAAGGAAUGAAGGAAUGGAUUUUCUGUUAGUACCCAGAGAAGUAUCUGUCUCCAAAAAUAUCUAUCUUUCCACUUCAAAAAUAAUCAAAUGUUUUCUUAGGGCAUUUUUGUCCCAAAGCCUAUUCCCACCCCUUGUUUUAUGUUCCUCAAUUUAGAGCAUGAACACUUGCUGGCUGACCCAUGGUCCCUUUGGCUGAAUGUCAGCCAGCUGUAAAAGGACUAUGUAUAUGAAGACCACACCAGCUAGAAGCUUAACUCAAGGUUUCAUUGUUUUAAAGGACUUAAUAUUCUUCUAGUUUAUGCAGAAUCUCACUGGGUAAAGUUGCAGAAAAAAAUUCUAGAAUAGAAGAGAACAGUUUGGAAUAUGUAAUUCAACUAUUUCUAAGUAAUAGAGAAAGGCAACAAAAAUGUCAAUAUUACAGGCAUCAAAUACUUUAGCUAAUCAGGUAAUGUUAUUGAGUUGGAAGCUGACCCUAUCACCAUAGGUAUCUGUUUUCCUAAGUUACUCAUCUUAACCGCUGAUUCACACUGUUCACCCUCCCACUCGGCAGUGGAAGUUAAAUGGCUUGUGAUUCACAAUCUCAGCCUUAGAGAAGAGAUUUGUAAUAACAGAUGUUUAUAAUGUGCCUCUAGUUUCCCUUGGCCUUCUCUUCCUCCUCACUAAAUCCCUCAUUCUAGACCAUGGAAUUUUACAAGGGACUUGAUGUCCUUGGGUCUUGCUGAGACAGAAGAUAUUCACAAAGGCUUGGACGAAAAGCUCCUCAGCCAUCAAAUUGGCUAAUUCAUUCCAGAUUAUGCUGAAUGUAAGCUCUCCAGACGAAGAAACCAUCAUCUAACACAGGGGUGAGGUGGGGCACGGUGACGGGAGGAUCAGAUGAAGAGGAGUCAGCAGUAAUAACGGAAAAGGAAGGCCCAGGGUGAUUGGAGAAAAGCCAGGACAGUGUGAGGACUCUAAGCCCAGCAUUAGAACUUCAAGAAGAAUGGAGAGGUCAACAAUGUCAAAUUCUCCAACAUCUGAGGAAGAGAGCAAGAUGAAAGCAUUGGGUUUAGAAAUGUGAAUGUAAUUGAUGAGCUUGCUAAGGUAGUUUCAGAGGGACGAUAGUGAAAAAACAAAAAGAUAAAGCCUGUGCUCGGUAAAAAUUUAGAGAAAAGGAAAAUUUAAAGUAGGGACUUCGGUGGCUGACUGGUCAUUUUUUGAAAGGCCUCUCGGUGAGGGGAAGGAGAAAGAGAUAAUUGGAGCCAGAGGGACGUGCAAGGUUGGUGGCAUUUGUUAUUAAGACCACAUCAGCUAGAGGCUUAAACCCAAGGUUUCAUUGUUGGGUUUCAUAGUAUGGUAAAAUCUUGGGUGUGGUUUUAGUCUAUGGGAAAGUAGUCAAUUAAGACUAGGAAUAGAAAUGUGUUUACAAGCAAAUGGAACAGGAGCUGAAGGAGAUGACACCCUGAAUUAAAAUUUAAUUAAUAUCACAGAGAAUGCUUUUCUAUCAUGGUUUCAUUAAACACAGAGCCUUCACUUCUAAAUAUUCAAAUACACAUAUAUACAUACACAUACACACACACCUUUAUACAAACUUUAAGUGUGUGGAGUGUUAGAAACCUCACUGUGUAAAAACUGAAACUAUAACAUGGGAAAUGAAGAAAGGUGAUUAUUUAGAUGAGAACACAUAUAAUAAUAAAAGUAACACAUUUUACGGUUUCUUUAAAUGUUUAUUCAUCCCUCUACACAAUUAAAUAGCAUGUGUUUUAGACAUUUUUAUUAUUUUCCAUUUUCCAGCUGUACAUACCAUGAGAGAUAUAGGUUCUAUAACUAUUUGGAGCUAUACAAAUAGAAAGAGGAAUAAGAAAAUGUUAUGUCCUCUCUCCUCUUUAAAAAAAAAAUUCUGUU